rnacentral:rRNA from 1 species
UUCCGGUUGUCCUGCCGGAAGUCAUUGCUAUUGGGGUCCGAUUUAGCCAUGCUAGUUGUACGAGCUUAGACUCGUUGCGAAAAGCUCAGUAACACGUGGUCAAACUACCCUACGGAGAACGAUAACCUCGGGAAACUGAGGCUAAUAGUUCAUCGGGGAGUCACGCUGGAAUGCCGACUCUCCCAAACGCUCCGGCGCCGUAGGAUGUGACUGCGGCCGAUUGGGUAGACGGUGGGGUAACGGCCCACCGUGCCGAUAAUCGGUACGGGUUGUGAGAGCAAGAGCCCGGAGGCGGAAUCUGAGACAAGAUUCCGGGCCCUACGGGGCGCAGCAGGCGCGAAACCUUUACACUGCACGACAGUGCGAUAGGGGGACCCCGAGUGCGAGGGCAUACAGUCCUCGCUUUUCUGCACGGUAAGGACGUGCAAGAAUAAGGGCUGGGCAAGACCGGUGCCAGCCGCCGCGGUAAUACCGGCAGCUCGAGUGAUGGCCGCUGUUAUUGGGCCUAAAGCGUCCGUAGCUGGCCGCACAAGUCCGUCGGGAAAUCCACCCGCCUAACGGGUGGGCGUCCGGCGGAAACUGUGCGGCUUGGGACCGGAAGACCCGAGGGGUACGUCCGGGGUAGGAGUGAAAUCCCGUAAUCCUGGACGGACCGCCGGUGGCGAAAGCGCCUCGGGAAGACGGAUCCGACAGUGAGGGACGAAAGCUAGGGUCUCGAACCGGAUUAGAUACCCGGGUAGUCCUAGCUGUAAACGAUGCUCGCUAGGUGUGGCGCAGGCUACGAGCCUGCGCUGUGCCGUAGGGAAGCCGUGAAGCGAGCCGCCUGGGAAGUACGUCCGCAAGGAUGAAACUUAAAGGAAUUGGCGGGGGAGCACUACAACCGGAGGAGCCUGCGGUUUAAUUGGAUUCAACGCCGGA